UACGGAGGGUGCAAGCGUUAAUCGGAAUUACUGGGCGUAAAGCGCGCGUAGGCGGUUUGAUAAGUCGAUUGUGAAAUCCCCGGGCUCAACCUGGGAAUUGCAGUCGAGACUGUCAGACUAGAGUGUGGGAGAGGGUGGUGGAAUUCCCGGUGUAGCGGUGGAAUGCGUAGAGAUCGGGAAGAACAUCAGUGGCGAAGGCGGUCUGCUGGGCCGUUGCUGACGCUGAGGCGCGACAGCGUGGGGAGCAAACAGG
rnacentral:rRNA from 1 species